rnacentral:rRNA from 1 species
GACGAACGCUGGCGGCGUGCUUAACACAUGCAAGUCGAACGGUGAAGGGAUCAGCUUGCUGGUUCUGGAUGAGUGGCGAACGGGUGAGUAACACGUGAGUAACCUGCCCCCUUCUUCUGGAUAACCGCAUGAAAGUGUGGCUAAUACGGGAUAUUCUGCGCCUGCUGCAUGGUGGGUGUGGGAAAGAUAUUGUUUCGGUGGGGGAUGGGCUCGCGGCCUAUCAGCUUGUUGGUGGGGUGAUGGCCUACCAAGGCGGUGACGGGUAGCCGGCCUGAGAGGGUGGACGGUCACACUGGGACUGAGACACGGCCCAGACUCCUACGGGAGGCAGCAGUGGGGAAUAUUGCACAAUGGGCGCAAGCCUGAUGCAGCGACGCCGCGUGAGGGAUGGAGGCCUUCGGGUUGUGAACCUCUUUCGCCAGUGAAGCAGGCCUGUCCCUUAUGGGUGGGUUGACGGUAGCUGGAUAAGAAGCGCCGGCUAACUACGUG